UCCCUGAUAGCUCAGUUGGUAGAGCAACGGACUGUUAAUCCGCAGGUCCCAGGUUCGAGCCCUGGUCAGGGAGCCA
rnacentral:tRNA from 1 species